UACGUAGGGGGCAAGCGUUGUCCGGAUUUAUUGGGCGUAAAGGGCGCGUAGGCGGCCUCUGCAAGUCGACUGUGAAAUCUCCGGGCUUAACCCGGAAAGGUCAGCCGAUACUGCAGGGCUAGAGUGCAGAAGGGGCAACUGGAAUUCUCGGUGUAGCGGUGAAAUGCGUAGAUAUCGAGAGGAACACCUGCGGCGAAGGCGGGUUGCUGGGCUGACACUGACGCUGAAGCGCGAAAGCUAGGGGAGCGAACGGG
rnacentral:rRNA from 1 species